rnacentral:rRNA from 1 species
GAUGAACGCUAGCGGCAGGCCUAAUACAUGCAAGUCGAACGCGGGGUAGCAAUACCUCGAGUGGCGCACGGGUGCGUAACGCGUAACCAACCUGCCCUUGACUGGGGGAUAGCCCGCCGAAAGGCGGAUUAAUACCGCAUAAACCAGCAGCCUGGCAUCAGGCAACUGGCAAAGAUUUAUUGGUCAAGGAAGGGGUUGCGUGACAUUAGCUAGUUGGCGGGGUAACGGCCCACCAAGGCGACGAUGUCUAGGGGACCUGAGAGGGUGAUCCCCCACACUGGCACUGAGAUACGGGCCAGACUCCUACGGGAGGCAGCAGUAGGGAAUAUUGGGCAAUGGGCGAGAGCCUGACCCAGCCAUGCCGCGUGCCGGAUGAAGGCCUUCUGGGUUGUAAACGGCUUUCCUCAGGGAAGAAAACGACCAUGCGUGGUACACUGACGGUACCUGAGGAAUAAGCACCGGCUAACUCCGUGCCAGCCGCCGCGGUAACAC